rnacentral:rRNA from 1 species
UACGUAGGGUGCGAGCGUUGUCCGGAAUUAUUGGGCGUAAAGAGCUUGUAGGCGGUUUGUCGCGUCUGCCGUGAAAAUCCGGGGCUCAACCCCGGACUUGCGGUGGGUACGGGGCAGACUAGAGUGUGGUAGGGGGAGACUGGAAUUCCUGGUGUAGCGGUGAAAUGCGCAGAUAUCAGGAGGAACACCGGUGGCGAAGGCGGGUCUCUGGGCCGAUACUGACGCUGAGGAGCGAAAGCGUGGGGAGCGAACAGG